rnacentral:rRNA from 1 species
AAGUCGUAACAAGGUCUCCGUAGGUGAACCUGCGGAGGGAUCAUUACACAAUAACAAGGCGGGCUGGACACCCCCCGCUGGGCACUGCUUCACGGCGUGCGCGGCGGGGCCGGCCCUGCUGAAUUAUUCACCCGUGUCUUUUGCGUACUUCUUGUUUCCUGGGUGGGCUCGCCCGCCCUCAGGACCAACCACAAACCUUUUGCAAUAGCAAUCAGCGUCAGUAACAACGUAAUUAAUUACAACUUUCAACAACGGAUCUCUUGGUCCUGGCAUCGAUGAAGAACGCAGCGAAAUGCGAUACGUAGUGUGAAUUGCAGAAUUCAGUGAAUCAUCGAAUCUUUGAACGCACAUUGCGCCCUUUGGUAUCCCAAAGGGCAUGCCUGUUCGAGCGUCAUUUGUACCCUCAAGCUUUGCUUGGUGUUGGGCGUCUUUUGUCUCCAGUUCGCUGGAGACUCGCCUUAAAGUCAUUGGCAGCCGGCCUACUGGUUUCGGAGCGCAGCACAAGUCGCGCUCUUUGCCAGCCAAGGUCAGCGUCCAGCAAGCCUUUUUUUCAACCUUUGACCUCGGAUCAGGUAGGGAUACCCGCUGAACUUAA